rnacentral:SRP_RNA from 1 species
GCCGGGCACAAUGGCACAUACCUGUAGUCCCAGCUACUCGGGAGGUUGAGGUGGGAGGAUCGCUUGAGCCUAGGAGUUCUGGGCUGUAGUGCACCAUGCCAAUUGGUGUCUGCACUAAGUUCAGCAUCAAUAUGGUGACUUCCCGGGAGCGGGGGACCACCAGGUUGCCUAAGGAGGGGUGAACCGGCCCAGGUCAGAAACAGAGCAGGUCAAAACUCCCGUGCUGAUCAGUAGUGGGAUCACGCCUGUGAAUAGCCACUGUACUCCAGCCUGGGCAACAUAUCGAGACCCUGUCUCA